GACGAACGCUGGCGGCGUGCUUAACACAUGCAAGUCGAGCGGUAAGGCCCUUUCGGGGGUACACGAGCGGCGAAUGGGUGAGUAACACGUGGGUGACCUGCCCUUAGCUCUGGGAUAAGCCUGGGAAACUGGGUCUAAUACCGGAUAUGACUCCAUAACGCAUGUUGUGGGGUGGAAAGCCUUGUGCGGCUAGGGAUGGGCCCGCGGCCUAUCAGCUUGUUGGUGGGGUGANGGCCUACCAAGGCGACGACGGGUAGCCGGCCUGAGAGGGCGACCGGCCACACUGGGACUGAGACACGGCCCAGACUCCUACGGGAGGCAGCAGUGGGGAAUCUUGCGCAAUGGGCGAAAGCCUGACGCAGCGACGCCGCGUGGGGA
rnacentral:rRNA from 1 species